UUAAGUUCAGCGGGUAUCCCUACCUGAUCCGAGGUCAAAAUUGUGAAGAUAGCUUCUGGGAGCCAAUACGACGGGCCCGAGUUCGCGUUUCUGCUGCGCUCGAAGCCAAUGUACCGGCCGCCAAUAAUUUUGAGGCGAGUUCGCGCGCGCAGCGGAACAAACGCCCAACACCCAGCAGGGCUGGAGGGUACAAAUGACGC
rnacentral:misc_RNA from 1 species